CCUACGGGAGGCUGCAGUGAGGAAUAUUGGUCAAUGGACGAGAGUCUGAACCAGCCAAGUAGCGUGAAGGAUGACUGCCCUAUGGGUUGUAAACUUCUUUUAUCAGGGACGAAACAAAUGACGGUACCUGAUGAAUAAGCCACGGCUAACUACGUGCCAGCAGCCGCGGUAAUACGUAGGUGGCAAGCGUUAUCCGGAUUUACUGGGUGUAAAGGGCGUGUAGGCGGGAGAGCAAGUCAGACGUGAAAUUCCAGGGCUCAACCCUGGAACUGCGUUUGAAACUGUUCUUCUUGAGUGAUGGAGAGGCAGGCGGAAUUCCGUGUGUAGCGGUGAAAUGCGUAGAUAUACGGAGGAACACCAGUGGCGAAGGCGGCCUGCUGGACAUUAACUGACGCUGAGGCGCGAAAGCGUGGGGAGCAAACAGGAUUAGAUACCCCAGUAGUC
rnacentral:rRNA from 1 species